rnacentral:rRNA from 1 species
UACGUAGGUGGCAAGCGUUGUCCGGAAUUAUUGGGAGUAAAGCGCGCGCAGGCGGUUAUGUAAGUCUGAUGUUAAAGCCCGGGGCUCAACCUCGGUUCGCAUUGGAAACUGUGUAACUUGAGUGCAGAAGAGGAAAGUGGUACUCCACGUGUAGCGGUGAAAUGCGUAGGUAUGUGGAGGAACACCAGUGGCGAAGGCGACUUUCUGGUCUGUAACUGUCGCUGAGGCGCGAAAGCGUGGGGAGCAAACAGG